rnacentral:rRNA from 1 species
UACGUAGGGGGGCAAGCGUUGUCCGGAUUUAUUGGGCGUAAAGAGCGUGUAGGCGCCAGACAGGUCCGUUGUGAAAACUGGAGGCUCAACCUCCAGACGUCGAUGGAAACCGUCUGGCUAGAGUCCGGAAGAGGAGAGUGGAAUUCCUGGUGUAGCGGUGAAAUGCGCAGAUAUCAGGAAGAACACCCGUGGCGAAAGCGGCUCUCUGGGACGGUACUGACGCUGAGACGCGAAAGCGUGGGGAGCGAACAGG